rnacentral:lncRNA from 1 species
AAAGAGAAAGCAUUAAACGCAUCAAAAGAUUACCGUAAUUAUGAAAAACAAUAUUAUCAAUGCAAUCAUACACUCAAAGUUAUUACAGGUCUAAAUUAGGGACAUCCCCUAGCAUUGGGAGGUUUAGUUACUCAUAUUAUUUAAAAUAAAUUCAAGUUAAAAAUUAGACAUUACAAGUAAUUGGAUGACUUGGAUCUUAAAUCGCUUCUGCCCAUGGAAAUCUUCCGCUCUCCGAAUUUUUGAUCUCUGUAAUUCUCCGUGUUUUAUGUUUCUCCUCCCCAAAAAGU